CUGACAGCCUUGCAGACUGAAAACCUCUAUUUAUCCACAGAACAAGAACUAUAUGGAUGGGAGCAGGGCAAACUGACCUUCACUCUCUCCCACCAAUGUGCCUCAUCCCUGACCUGGAGGAAAGAGAGUCUCUGUAACUCAUUUCAAGCUUUGGAUCUC
ensembl:misc_RNA